rnacentral:rRNA from 1 species
UACGUAGGGUGCAAGCGUUAAUCGGAAUUACUGGGCGUAAAGCGUGCGCAGGCGGUUUUUGUAAGUCUGAUGUGAAAUCCCCGGGCUCAACCUGGGAAUUGCAUUGGAGACUGCAAGGCUAGAAUCUGGCAGAGGGGGGUAGAAUUCCACGUGUAGCAGUGAAAUGCGUAGAGAUGUGGAGGAACACCGAUGGCGAAGGCAGCCCC